GAGAAGGGGAGGCGGGAGCCGGACCGGGCUCCGCCGGCGCCGGGAGCGGGACAGCCUCCGCCCAGCAUGGCGGGCCCCGCGCCCAGCCCGGCCGACUCGAGAGGGACCCGUCUACCGGCCAACCGCCGUCGGCGGACGGCGCCGCCAUGACCGAGCAGCGCCCGCCGCGGCCGCUCUACUUCCCCCACUUCCACGACCGCGCCGAGCCCGUCCCACGCCCGGCCGACGGCGGCGGCCCUCGAACCCUCUUCGCGGCCACGGGCGGGCCGCGGCAGCCGCCGCCGGCCGCCGCCAAGGUGCCGCGCUGGGCCGAGGGGCUGGCGCACACCGCCUACGAGCCGCUGAGCUUCUUCUGCCCGGCGGCGGCUGUGGAAGAGGGCCGGGGGGCGGCGCGGCGGCCCGAGGAGCUGGAGGACGAGAUCUGCGAGCUGGGCAUCCGCCUCAAGGAGCUGGAGCUGCGGGCUCUCGUCGGCGACGGCUUCGACGCCCAGCAGUGUGCGUCCCGCCUGGGGCCGGGGGCGGGCACGGCCCGGGCCCCGCCGCCGCGCCCUCGCUCCGGGGUUGGGGCCCGGCCGCCGCUUCCUGUCUCGGCCGGCGGAGCGCGGCUCCGCGGGCUGCGGGCCCUCCCGCCCCAACGAGCGCAGCUCCGGCUCAAAGGCAGCAGGGUUCCGCCAUCAGUAACCCCCUGAAACGUGAUGCGGAGGGGCCGCCUUGGGUUCCUCUGCACCCGCAGCGCCAGCCAGGCACACAGCAGGGUUGGGGCCCUGCGCCCCGAAGUGUUCCCGGCCGCAGGUGCCUGGAGAAACACAUAGAGUGCAGGGAGUAAAGCUGGUGUCCCAUGUCAUCUUCCCCGGUGACUGGUCACAGACAACCCACCGAGGGCACAAAUUAGAAGCACAAGAACCGCGGAUGUGGUUACUUCUGCAGAAAGGAACAAAACGCCCAAAGUCAUUAAGCGUUAGCAAAAAAACCAAUUCAGACAGUGCUUCAAACGGAGGAAGCUUAUAAACUUCUGAAGGCACUGAAAGAAGAAAAGACGCAAGUCAUGAAAGCAAGGCAGAAGCUGAAGAAACAGCCACCAACA